ACUGACGCUGAGGCUCGAAAGCGUGGGGAGCAAACAGGAUUAGAUACCCCUGGUAGUCCACGCUGUAAACGAUGAUUACUAGGUGUGGGGGGACUGACCCCUUCCGUGCCGCAGUUAACACAAUAAGUAAUCCACCUGGGGAGUACGGCCGCAAGGUUGAAACUCAAAGGAAUUGACGGGGGCCCGCACAAGCAGUGGAGUAUGUGGUUUAAUUCGAAGCAACGCGAAGAACCUUACCAGGUCUUGACAUCGUAUGCAUAACUUAGAGAUAAGUGAAACUCCUUCGGGAGCAUAUAGACAGGUGGUGCAUGGUUGUCGUCAGCUCGUGUCGUGAGAUGUUGGGUUAAGCCCCGCAACGAGCGCAACCCUUACCUUUAGUUGCUACGCAAGAGCACUCUAAAGGGACUGCCGUUGACAAAACGGAGGAAGGUGGGGAUGACGUCAAAUCAUCAUGCCCCUUAUGACCUGGGCUACACACGUACUACAAUGGCAAUCAACAAAGAGAAGCAAGACAGUGAUGUGGAGCGAAUCUCAAAAAAUUGUCCCAGUUCAGAUUGCAGGCUGCAACUCGCCUGCAUGAAGUCGGAAUGCUAGAAUCGCG
rnacentral:rRNA from 1 species